UGGUAGUCCAAAUUUUUUUGCUAUGAGGUUGUCAAUCACAGCUGGCCUCGUACAUUGUUUGCUGUCUCCACUCAUUCGGGAUGCACUGUUUCAGUUUCGAUGACUCAAUAUUUUGGACAAAAACGGACGAAGGCUGCGAAUGUCAAUACAAUCAAACUAGCAAGGGCAAUGAUCAAAAGUCAGUCAUAACGUGGCUAAUAGGCUAGCGCAUCUUUUUAUGUAGCUCUUUAUUUAGCAACCUAAAAACCUGGAGCCUAAUGUUAGCUAGCUAGCUGCUGGGAAGAUGUCAUGUGAUUAGAAGAAUGGUGUUUCUUCAAGGCUGGCUCGCUGACUUAAGGAGGUCGAAGUUGCUGCCUCUCACCAGUUUGGCUCGCAGGUGGUGCCGAUCUUGCUGACCGUGUAGCUGCACCAGCCGAACACAGGAGGGAUCGUCCAGAUGAAGGAGAAGGUCCAGACAAACAGCAGGCCCAUUGCCGCAUGCUUCCCCCUAAGACGAACAUUCCCCAGAGGCCGGCAGAUCACAAAGAAACGCUCGAAGGACAGGACUGCCAGGGACCACAGAGCUACAAUCCCUAAGAGGAGGCACAGACAGUCUGUAGGGCCCAGAAGAAACAUGUCUACCCAUUUGGCUGUGACUAUAUUCAUUAAAAUAACAAUGAAUUACAUAUCUUCAUUAAAAACAUUAUCUUGAUAAGUAAAUUCAUACAAUUUCAUUCUUCCACCAGAAUAUAUAAUCCAGACCAAAAAAAAUCUGUGUUAGUUAUUUUGGUCAUGUUUCCACAGACACGCACCAGACGUAAAUCAUGUUUGCAUAGUUGCUACGUAAAAUGACUAAAAUGACUGGUCGUCCGUUAACAAAAAUGGUUGCUAUGCAGGCAGACUAUAGUUGUCGCUAGCUAACCAGACAACUUUAGCAAACUCAGUCACGCUUAUAUUAACCCCGCUUUACCAAACUAAAUGCAAGGCUAGAAGCAAGGGGAAAUAGUGUAUAAAUUCAGAUAAAUGCAAGAGAUGAUUCGGACAGCAACCUGAAUAUGAUUAUAUUCUUAUGGAGGGUGACAAAUAAUUCAGAUGGACCUGUUAGCAGGCAUAGGUGUGCCUGUUGGUGAAUACAGCACCGCUUGGAAUGCUGCUCGUCCAAUCAGCAUCUAUGAUCGAAACAACCCGUUUCAUAAAAUAUGCUAAACACUACUAUUCUACACUUCACUCUACCUAAAAUGGCUUACCUAGAACCAUUGUAAAAACUGCAGUUGUCUAGCACUUCCUUCUGGUUUGUUUAAUCAGGCAGUUGAAGCCCCGUUUCCAAUGACACUUUGAAAUCAACCUAGGCUGGACUAGCUGAAAUUUGCCCCCUAAUUUUAAAUCCCAGUGGAAACGGUGUUUUAGUCUCCUAUUCUUCAGACCAUAAACCACAUUUAGUGUCCUUAUUGGCCAAGGUCACGCAAGACGUUCUUAUAUUAGCCAAUCAGCAGCCUAUAUUCCUGAGACUUCAGGUUCAUUCGUGUAGGACCCCUGCGCAGAAAUCAGAUAACAUUGCUUUCCAUCCUGACGAACUACCCUUUUCCUCUUGUGUACAAUAUCCUUGGUGUCUGACAUUUUACUGUGCGUGCGUCUAAAACAUAAGUGUUUUUUAGAUAUUUUAUGUUCCGUUGGUUUUGUUGCUAAGUAUUGUCUGUUGUAUUUUUCCAUAUAUGUUGAGUUUGCUGGCUAGCUCGCGCUGCCGCUAGCAUUUACACAAAGAAUCCAUUAGUAGUGUAUGUUAGCAUGCCUAGUAGCUUUAGCCGUUUGUUAGCAUUUGUCAUUUGAGGUGAUAGGCUAUUUCCUUUGUAUAUGUAAAUCGCUCAUGCUCUGGUGUUGGUAUUAUGUAAACUUUCCUGUAUUGCUGUUGUUGAUGUACAGGUCCACUAGCCUGUUUAGUAGAAACUAGCCCUGCAGAAGGAAAAUAUGCCUACAUUUAUAUUGCAUCCCUUACAGAACCAGAAUCUGUCAGUUUCAAGGGUGGCGUGAGUGUCUGUGUGGAUCCUUUCUGUCCAUUAAAAACCCCUUAACUAGAAAUACUGUCUCGUUGUUC